rnacentral:rRNA from 1 species
GACGAACGCUGGCGGCGUGCCUAAUACAUGCAAGUCGAACGCAUUUUCUUUCACCGUAGCUUGCUACACCGAAAGAAAAUGAGUGGCGAACGGGUGAGUAACACGUGGGUAACCUGCCCAUCAGCGGGGGAUAACACUUGGAAACAGGUGCUAAUACCGCAUAAUUCCAUUUACUGCAUGGUAGAUGGUUGAAAGGCGCUUUUGCGUCACUGAUGGAUGGACCCGCGGUGCAUUAGCUAGUUGGUGGGGUAACGGCCUACCAAGGCUGCGAUGCAUAGCCGACCUGAGAGGGUGAUCGGCCACACUGGGACUGAGACACGGCCCAGACUCCUACGGGAGGCAGCAGUAGGGAAUCUUCGGCAAUAGACGCAAGUCUGACCGAGCAACGCCGCGUGAGUGAAGAAGGUUUUCGGAUCGUAAAACUCUGUUGUUAGAAAAGAACAAGGAUGAGAGUGGAAAGUUCAUCCCUUGACGGUAUCUAACCAGAAAGCCACGGCUAACUACGUG